AUUGAACGCUGGCGGCAUGCCUUACACAUGCAAGUCGAACGGCAGCACGGGUGCUUGCACCUGGUGGCGAGUGGCGAACGGGUGAGUAAUACAUCGGAACAUGUCCUGUAGUGGGGGAUAGCCCGGCGAAAGCCGGAUUAAUACCGCAUACGAUCUACGGAUGAAAGCGGGGGACCUUCGGGCCUCGCGCUAUAGGGUUGGCCGAUAGCUGAUUAGCUAGUUGGUGGGGUAAAGGCCUACCAAGGCGACGAUCAGUAGCUGGUCUGAGAGGACGACCAGCCACACUGGGACUGAGACACGGCCCAGACUCCUACGGGAGGCAGCAGUGGGGAAUUUUGGACAAUGGGCGAAAGCCUGAUCCAGCAAUGCCGCGUGUGUGAAGAAGGCCUUCGGGUUGUAAAGCACUUUUGUCCGGAAAGAAAUCCUUGGCUCUAAUACGGUCGGGGGAUGACGGUACCGGAAGAAUAAGCACCGGCUAACUACGUG
rnacentral:rRNA from 1 species